AGAACGACAUUUUUUAUUCCAUUAAUUGAGGUUGGGAUUGUGUAUAUAAACAGCGCAUUCAAAUAUACCAGGGUUGACACAGAAAACAUGACUUCGAACAAGUUUUCAGUAAUUAUUAGGGAACUGUUCUUGAUAGUAAUUCUUCUGCUGGCUUUGGGAGUGGCAUCAACGGAACUGCCACAAGUCCAGAAUCAUCAUUAUAUGAAGAAUCGAGUUUUAAUUGGAAGAGGUAGAACUCUCUAAUCACCUCAAGCAGCUCCUCCUGAUGAGAACCGUGGCUGACUGAACCAAAUACCAAGUCGAGAUGAUAAGAUGACUGAAGAGAAGCUUGGCGUGCACCAAAUCAAAUAUUUACCAGAUACUUCUGCGGUUCUGAUAUAUCAUAUGUGCGCUUCUGCAGCCAACAAUCUGCCACAUAACGUUGAAAUAUAAUUUUGUUGUCGACUUCAUUAUUGUGAAUUUUUUUUUUUUGGCAUUUAAAAUAAUUUCUUUAGUCACCCGUGAACUUGAUUAUUAAGGACGUUGCUAUCUUUUUCUUUUUUUCCUUUUUUUUUUAAAAAAAUUAAUAAGGUUGUCAAUGACAAUCUGUAUGCAUAUAUAUAUUUUCAUUUUUCUUUUCAAUAAUUAUGCCUCACAAUCCAUGAACUUAAUAAAAAUAAAAUAAAAUUUCGCCAGUUGUUUGACGGAUUGCUUGCUUUCAUUAUUGGAUGACAAGUUUA